rnacentral:rRNA from 1 species
ACCCCAGACUCCUACGGGAGGCAGCAGUGGGGAAUAUUGCACAAUGGGGGAAACCCUGAUGCAGCGACGCCGCGUGAGCGAUGAAGUCUUUCGGUAUGUAAAGCUCUAUCAGCAGGGAAGAAGAUGACGGUACCUGACUAAGAAGCCCCGGCUAACUACGUGCCGGCAGCCGCGGUAAUACGUAGGGGGCAAGCGUUAUCCGGAUUUACUGGGUGUAAAGGGAGCGUAGACGGCGAUGCAAGCCAGAUGUGAAAGCCCGGGGCUCAACCCCGGGACUGCAUUUGGAACUGUGUGGCUGGAGUGUCGGAGAGGCAGGCGGAAUUCCUGGUGUAGCGGUGAAAUGCGUAGAUAUCAGGAGGAACACCGGUGGCGAAGGCGGCCUGCUGGACUGCAACUGACGUUGAGGCCCGAAAGCGUGGGGAGCAAACAGGAUUAGAUACCCUCGUA